UUAGGUGUUGAUGUCAGAAUCCCAUGUAAUAAUGUUUCACAUUCGAUGUCUACCUGUUUGUGGGAUUGAUGAUCAUGUUCCUGGUCCUUCGUACUUUCCACAAGCUUGCAGAUGUGCACGGCUGGACUGCUUUCUUCCAGCUGCCGAGCUACGAGGAGGACGAUGAGGAUAAAGAACCAAUAAUAGAACAAGAGCCUGACGAUGAAUCACCUGAGGCUGAGAAGGCCUCAAUUAAGCCUCUGGAUCCCAACUGUCAAGUGUCCUACAACUCCAUCAAUAGAUAAAACACCAGAUCUCUCCACAUUCAGAUAAGGUCAAGACAAUCGAGUAUGAAUAUGUGCAAUACAAUACGCCUCACUGUUGGACAGAACCACGCUUCUGAUGCUUUGAAGGAACGAAGCAUCUGAGCAGAACAUUUUCAUGAACCAAAUUAUAUUUGGGGGGGGGUUCUGUUUGGAGUUGCCAAAUCUGAUCUUCAAGACUAUAGGGAUGUUGACAUUGCUUUAGGAAGUGGAAAACUUGCUCAUUGUGUCCUAAGUGUGAAUCUUCUUUAGUGUUGUUUUGUGUAGGAUUCCUAACUGAUGAUGCUUUUCAGAUUAUUAAAUGACUGUUUUUUUGUUGUUGUUGCAUGGACCAAGACUCCUCUGGAUCAUAGAAAAAGGAAGAGAAUGCUGCUGCUUGCCACCCGUUCAAUACUCUGUUAUUCAAUGAGUUUGAAAUGAAUUGUUUUCAUAGCUAGUUAAUGGUGGUUCUCGAUGUCCAGUCAUGUGGAGAACUUCAGAUGCACUUUAUAAUUGGCUUUUUAUUUAGGUUUGUGCAACCAUUGGACAGCCAGUGAUUAUACUGGACACAAUCUCUUUGUCUUUAUUGUAGUACUUUAUAUUCUUUGUAUCAUUGCGAUUGUAUAUUCAAUGUUGGAUGGUAGGGAACAAAAAGUUCUCUGAUGUUCACAGUCAGAAGAACAAAAUGUGUUUUAAGAAAUGCAUGCACAGAAAAAUAAAAUAAAAUUUGUUUUGGUAAUUUUGUGGCUUGAUGCAUUUGCAUGGGCAGGUGUGAUGAAAUAUAAGUCUGUGUAGCUGUGGAGUUAAAGGAAGUUUAUAUUUUACACACCCUGUUUUAUCGCUCUCUUUAAAUAGGUUUUAAAAAAAGCUGUAAUAAACGUGUCAGUAUAUAGAUAAGUUGAAAUAACCUACCACUCAAUCAAAAUAAUCCUUCUCUUCUAUAAGCGGAAUAAAGUUCCCUUUUGAACGGU